rnacentral:rRNA from 1 species
GGGUCUCGCUCGUUACCUGACUUAACAGGAUGCUUCACAGUACGAACUGGCGACGGCCAUGCACCUCCUCUCAGCGAUUCAGGCAAGGUCUUCAGCCUGGCCUACAUAUUGCUGUCGUCCCCGGUGAGUUGUCCGGCGUUGAGUCCAAUUAAACCGCAGGCUCCACCCGUUGUUGUGCUCCCCCGCCAAUUCCUUUAAGUUUCAGCCUUGCGGCCGUACUUCCCAGGUGGCUCGCUUCACGGCUUCCCUGCGGCACCAGACACGGUCGCGCCAUGCCUGACACCUAGCGAGCAUAGUUUACGGCUGGGACUACCCGGGUAUCUAAUCCGGUUCGUGCCCCCAGCUUUCGUCCCUCACCGUCGAACCCGUUCUGGUAAGACGCCUUUGCCACAGGUGGUCUCACAGGGAUUACAAGAUUUCACUCCUACCCCCUGUAGUACCUCUUACCUCUCCCGGUUCCAAGCCUGGCAGUAUCCCCCGAAAGCCUAACAGUUAAGCUAUCAGAUUUCCCGGAGGACUGACCAAACCGGCUACGGACCCUUUAGACCCAAUAAUAACGGUCACCACUCGGGCCGCCGGUGUUACCGCGGCGGCUGGCACCGGUCUUGCCCGGCCCUUGCUAACAGAUGUAGUUUACACAUCUGGACAGCCAGCAUAUGAUGCUGGCACUCGGUGUUCCCUUAUCACGGUUUCCCGCAUUGUAAAGUUUUCGCGCCUGCUGCGCCCCGUAGGGCCUGGAUUCAUGUCUCAGAAUCCAUCUCCGGGCUCUUGCUCUCACAACCCGUACCCGUUGUUGGCUAGUAGGUACAUUACACCCACUACUACCUGAUAGGCCGCAGACCCAUCCUUGGGCGGACGAAUCCAUUUUACGCAUAAAGCAUUCCAGCACAUAUGCGUUAUCCGGUAUUAUCCCCAGUUUCCCGGGGUUAUCCCAGACCCAAGGGCAGGUUAUCCACGUGUUACUGAGCAGUAUGCCAUGUUCACGAGGAACAUAUGACUUGCAUGGCUUAGUCGAACACCAAUAGCAGUAACCUCUGGCAGGAUCAAC